UCUCUCUCUGCAGCAUCCCAUCUCUCUCUCCCUCCUCCUUCUCCUUCUCCAUCCUAAUUGAUAUAUCUGCUACGUUAGAUUAAGAUGACAUUGAUGAUCUUGAUGUACUAAUACGAUAUAUAGAUGUUUAGGUUUGGGAAUUAUAUACAGACAUAACAUUCACAACCUUUUAAUGGAAUAGAUGUCAGUUGACGAAGAAAAUGAAUAUACAGUCUCACGUGAAUGAUGUGUUGUAUAGAUCGAAGUAUAUAAAUAGUCGUAAUACAAAACGAAAUUAGAGAAACUGAAGGUGGGUUUUGACAGUAGGCCUAUAUAGUUCACAGCCAAAGAGGGAGAGUAGGAAAGACAGGAUCGAAUAGACGUAUUGUCGGUUAGGUAGACAGAGACACACACACAGACAGAUGGAUACACAACAAUUAAACAGAGAAACUAUAUAUAUAUGACAAAAUGGAUGACUUGGUAAAAAAAUAACACAGGAUAAGAUAACAUGAGAAAGUCAAUCAACGAACUCAAAUAACAGAAUUGGAUGCAAGGCUAAAAUAGAUAACUGGGAUCGAGAUGGAUGGAUGACUUAGAGAAAUAAUGGAUGGAAAGGUCAAAAGAAAACCAGAUAACAGAAAACGAAGAG